rnacentral:ncRNA from 2 species
CUCUUAUCAAGAGUGGCGGAGGGACUGGCCCUAUGAUGCCCGGCAACCGAUAGCAAAGCUAUAAGGUGCUAAUUCCAGCAGAACCUUACUUAGGUUCUGAGAGAUGAGAG